rnacentral:rRNA from 2 species
ACCUGACUGCUAUCGGAUUGAUACUAAGCCAUGCGAGUCAUUGUAGCAAUACAAGGCAGACGGCUCAGUAACACGUAGUCAAUCUAACCUAUGGACGGGGAUAACCUCGGGAAACUGAGAAUAAUAUCCGAUAGGCCACUAUGCCUGGAAUGGUUUGUGGCCCAAAUGAUUUAUCGCCGUAGGAUGGGACUGCGGUCUAUCAGCUUGUUGGUGAGGUAAUGGCCCACCAAGGCUAUAACAGAUACGGGCUCUGAGAGGAGAGGCCCGGAGAUGGGUACUGAGACACGGACCCAGGCCCUAUGGGGCGCAGCAGGCGAGAAAACUUUGCAAUGUGCGAAAGCACGACAAGGUUAAUCCGAGUGUUUUCUGCUAAAGAAAUCUUUUACCGGUCUUAAAACCACCGGCGAAUAAGGGGUGGGCAAGUUCUGGUGUCAGCCGCCGCGGUAAAACCAGCACCUCAAGUGGUCAGGAGGAUUAUUGGGCCUAAAGCAUCCGUAGCCUGCCGUGUAAGUUUUCGGUUAAAUCUAUGCGCUCAACGCAUAGGCUGCCGGAAAUACUGCACGGCUAGGGAGUGGGAGAGGUAGACGGUACUCGGUAGGAAGGGGUAAAAUCCUCUGAUCUAUCGAUGACCCCCUGUGGCGAAGGCGGUCUACUAGAACACGUCCGACGGUGAGGGAUGAAAGCUGGGGGAGCAAACCGGAUUAGAUACCCGGGUAGUCCCAGCUGUAAACAAUGCAAACUCAGUGAUGCAUUGGCGUAAGAGCCAGUGCAGUGCCGCAGGGAAGCCGUUAAGUUUGCCGCCUGGGAAGUACGUACGCAAGUAUGAAACUUAAAGGAAUUGGCGGGGGAGCACCACAAGGGGUGAAGCCUGCGGUUC